GAUUUCAAUUGAAAAAGUAAUCAACAAUAAAGUUGAAUAACUCAUCAAGAUCUAAAACUUUAUUUUUGUUAUUUCUUCAUCCGACGAAAUGUUAGUAAUAUUAUUCACAAAUUUUACAUAUAUGUGUUAUAGUUUAUAAAACCAGAUAAGAGAUAUGUCAACUUUGUGAACAAUGUUACUAUCACUUUGUCGUAUGAAGAAAUGACCAAAAUAAAAGUUUUAGAACUUGAUGAGUUAUUCAACUUUGUUGUUGAUGACUUUUUCAGUUGAUAUC
rnacentral:pre_miRNA from 1 species